UACAGAGACUGCAAGCGUUAUUCGGAUUCACUGGGCGUAAAGGGUGCGCAGGCGGCCGUGUGUGUGAGGCGUGAAAGCCUGGAGCUUAACUCCAGAAUUGCACCUCAAACUACAUGGCUAGAGCAUUGGAGAGGGUAGCAGAAUUCACGGUGUAGCAGUGAAAUGCGUAGAUAUCGUGAGGAAUACCAGAGGCGAAGGCGAGUCUCUGGACAUUUCCUGACGCUGAGGCACGAAAGCCAGGGGAGCAAACGGG
rnacentral:rRNA from 1 species